UACCAGAUGAUUAGGUUGUCGUCCCAGUCCGCCCCUGAUACCAGAUUAUUAGGUUGUUGUCCCUGUCCGCCCCUGAUACCAGAUGAUUAGUUUGUCGUCCCUGUCCGCCCCUGAUACCAGAAGAUUAGGUUGUGGUCUUUGUCUGCCCCUGAUACCAGAUGAUUAGGUUGUGUUCCCAGUCCGCCCCUGAUACCAGAUGAUUAGGUUGUGGUCCUGGUCCGCCCCUGAUACCAGAUGAUUAGGUUGCAGUCCCUGUCCGCCCCUGAUACCAGAUGAUUAGGUUGUGGUCCCGGUCCGCCCCUGAUACCAGAUUAUUAGAUUGUCGUCCCUGUCCGCCCCUGACACCAGAUGAUUAGUUUGUCGUCCCUGUCCGUCCCUGAUACCAGAAGAUUAGGUUGUGGUCUUUGUCUGCCCCUGAUACCAGAUGAUUAGGUUGUGUUCCCAGUCCGCCCCUGAUACCAGAUGAUUAGGUUGUGGUCCCGGUCCGCCCCUGAUACCAGAUGAUUAAAUUGUGGUCCCUGUCCGUCCCUGAUACCAGAUGAUUACGUUGUGUUCUCUUUCCGCCCCUGAUACCAGAUGAUUAGGUUGUGGUCCCUGUCCACCCCUGAAACUAGAGGAUUAGCUUGUGGUCCCUGUCCGCCCCUGAUACCAGAUGAUUAGUUUGUGGUCCCUGUCUGCCCCUGAUACCAGAUGAUUAGGCUGUGGUCCCUUUCCGCCCCUGAUACCAGAUGAUUAGGUUGUCGUCCCAGUCCGCCCCUGAUACCAGAUUAUUAGGUUGUUGUCCCUGUCCGCCCCUGAUACCAGAUGAUUAGUUUGUCGUCCCUGUCCGCCCCUGAUACCAGAAGAUUAGGUUGUGGUCUUUGUCUGCCCCUGAUACCAGAUGAUUAGGUUGUGUUCCCAGUCCGCCCCUGACACCAGAUGAUUAGGUUGUGGUCCCGGUCCGCCCCUGAUACCAGAUGAAUAGAUUGUGGUCCCUGUCCACCCCUGAUACCAGAUGAUUAGGUUGCCGUCCCUGUCCGCCCCUGAUACCAGAUGAUUAGGUUGUGGUCCCAUGUCCGCCCCUGAUACCAGAAGAUUAGGUUGUUGUCCCUGUCCGCCACUGAUACCAGAUGAUUAGGUUGGGUACCCAGUCCGCCCCUGAUACCA
ensembl:lncRNA